GGGUCUUAGGGCAGGUGCCGAAGAGCUCACGUCGGGAUGGGAAUCCGCGGGAAGUUUCCCUGGGGACGCCUGUCUGGAAUGACAUGCCCGCAGAAAAGAAAGAAGCAGCACUGAACAGAGGGAGAUGUGGGACUUGGACACAGUAAUCCCUGUUCCCCACCAAGAAAAUCCAUGGUCACUGCUUCCUUUUCAAGCCACUGCAUGGCACAGCCGCCCAGUGAUCGGCACCGCCCUGUCACCCUCUAUCCUUGUCUGCUUCGCUGGCUUUUGAUCACAGACCUCAACUUAAAUGAUUUCCAUUGACUGCAUUUCAGCAUCAUUUGCUGAAGACGCUCUGAGCUUUCCACUCCCUGGGUCCUUACAGGCUCAAGGACGCCUUCCCAACAGGACAACAGUCCAAGGACAGGCCGCGCUGUGUCUCUGGGGGGCUUGCAGAUGACACUCUGUGGGCUUGUGACAGUGAGUGCCUCUCACUGAAGCUUCCCCAAGCAUGACUUCAUUGACUCAAUUUAAUUGGAAGGUGCUUUUUUUCCCAAGAAGGGCUCAGAAGCGCUUUGGUCCCUGAGUUCUAUCAUAUUUGGAGGAGUCUGCCCCUUGCCUUUGUACGUGAGGGACAGCAUGAGAGCAGGCGUGUUCUCUCGGGUCUUCUGCAGCCUGAAAGGUGUUCUCACAGGCUGCUGGGAUGAGCCUGGGGCUAGCCCGGGCGGCCCCCAUCCUUCCUUAUGAGCAGCUGCUUUUCAACUCGGGUGCCUGUGUCUGAAGGACUGCCAUCUUGGAAGGGAUUAACUCGCAUGCAUGGUGUUGGUGCUGCCUAAGGACUUGCCCGAGGUCAACUGCUCCACAUCUGUUCUUCUCAGGGGAGGACAAGCUCUUUCACUCUGCAGAUGCAAUUCCUCCUUUAUUCCGGAUCCUCUCUUCACAUGCUACCUACCGUUCCCUCCGCAUUCACUGUGAUGGUCUUUCCUCUAUUAAAGCACUUCCAUUUCA